rnacentral:rRNA from 1 species
UACGUAGGUGGCGAGCGUUGUCCGGAAUUACUGGGUGUAAAGGGCGCGUAGGCGGGGAUGCAAGUCAGGUGUGAAACACCAUGGCUCAACCGUGGGACUGCAUUUGAAACUGCAUUUCUUGAGUAUUGGAGAGGGAAGCGGAAUUCCUAGUGUAGCGGUGAAAUGCGUAGAGAUUAGGAGGAACACCAGUGGCGAAGGCGGCUUUCUGGCCAGAUACUGACGCUGAGGCGCGAAAGCGUGGGGAGCAAACAGGAUUAGAUACCCCCGUAGUCC